UGCACACCUCACUGUAAAGGUCUGUGUGGUCAUGGUUAGACAAGUGCACAUCUCACUGUAAAGGUCUGUGUGGUCAUGUUAGACAAGUGCACAUCUCACUGUAAAGGUCUGUGUGGUCAUGUUAGACAAGUGCACAUCUCACUGUAAAGGUCUGUGUGGUCAUGUUAGACAAGUGCACAUCUCACUGUAAAGGUCUGUGUGGUCAUGGUUAGACAAGUGCACAUCUCACUGUAAAGGUCUGUGUGGUCAUGGUUAGACAAGUGCACAUCUCACUGUAAAGGUCUGUGUGGUCAUGGUUAGACAAGUGCACAUCUCACUGUAAAGGUCUGUGUGGUCAUG